rnacentral:sRNA from 1 species
AAAAAAACAGAUGACCUUAAUAUUAUCUGCCCUAUAGAUCGAAAGGUCUGAAAGGGUAACUUGAUUUUUUUACCCCAUUGUGUGAAAGUCUCUUGACCAAUUUGUUUGUACUCUCAUCUGUUAUAAGUAACCACACAGAUUGUGAUCCGAGCAUUCAGUUAUAAUUCUAUAGAAAAAGUUUUAUAUCUUAAAAGUAAGUCGAAUUUACUUUAGCUCAAUGAGAACAAUCCUUUUCUUCCAUUAAAUAGAUCUAUAGUAAUUUCAUGACUUAUUUCUAUUUGAUAGCUAGUUCUUAGGCUUAAGGUGUGAAGUGACUGAGGGAUAAAGUGCUUGGCUGCUGUAUCAAGGGGACUAGAGUUUAAAUUCUGGUGAAGACUGAGAUUUUGAACUUUUUGGAUUUUAAGGGCCUCUCCAAGUUUCCCCACCUCUAAAAGGUACAUAGCUUAUAUUGGGGGAGUAAAGGCAGUUGGCCAUUGAGCUGGCCACAUGGCACCUGUGUCAACCAUUGGCCAUGAAACAGAUGAGUUUUACCUCAUCAGCCUUCAUAGAUUGUAUACUGCGAUACACGGGCCCAACCUAUUAUACUUAUUUAUUGUUAUUUCAGCAACAAUCAUUUUUUGUUUGGGUGUGGGGGAAUAUGUAUAAAUAAAAAAAUAUUCUAAAAUUAAUUAUCUUUUUUAAAUUUUUUUAAUAUUAGGUAUGAUUAUAAUAUUUUCCAAGCCUAUAAAGAACUUUUUAUGAUUUAAUGUAAAUAAUAUAGUCGUCAUAUGAUUUGUAUCAGCAUCUCAACUACAACACAGAAAAAUGUUUGUUAUAUUUAUGCUAUACAUUUUACUAAAACAUCAAUUUGAAGACUCCAUAUGAAUUGUUUUGUAAUUAGCUCAAAUUUUUAUUCUAAAAAUGUAUUAUCAUCAAUAUUACUUUUUCAAUAAUUAAUUUCUGUAAACAUUUGCCAUUGAUAAAACAAAAAACUAUCGUAGAACAUUUGUGGACCAGAUGAUAAGGCAAGGGAAGCAAUCAUUGAAAUUAAAAAGACCACAGAAAUCUUUGAGCUACUUCCUUUUCUUCAAUAAUACUUUGUGAUCUCCCCUUAGCACUAUUUCUGCUUCAUCGUAAAGGUUAACCGUGCAAUGGUAGAUUUAGAUGAUACAAGAAGAAGAGAAUUGGGGUUUACAAAUUGAAACUAAUCUCUCUUGUAUCCUCUCAUGGUUUGUAGAUUGAAAGGCUGUAGGCUGGAGAUAUAAAAGUUGGCAGACCAGGUAAUAAGAAUGUGUAAAAUUGCAUGACCAGUUAGGGCCUGUUGGCUCACAGAGCCUCGUAAUUUCGGCAAAAAGAUAUAGUCUUAAACCCAAAGUGCUAAGUGUUUCACUAUUGGACCAAAGUGCUUAGUUUUUCACUAUUAGCCCAAAGUACUUAGUGUUUCACUAUUCGCCAAAAGUGCUUAGUGUUUCACUAUUCGCCAAAAGUGCUUAGUGUUUCACUAUUAGCAUGUUUUUUAAAUUUUCUAUUAGAAUGGUGGGAGUGGUCUUUGACUGACAUUACUGAGGCCUCCCUACAGAGAGGAUACAGUCACAUGAUGUACUUAGCUCAUAGCAUUCUGGUCUGAAGCGAAACCAAGGAUAAUUCUCCAACUGCAUCCUUCAUUUGCAUAAUUGUAUGCACUCUUCCAGACGUAACUUUUACAGUUCUAAACCAUAUUUGUAUUUUAUAAACUAUACUCAACUCGGUGCUGCUCUCUGGAGGAAAUAUCUAGCUGAAAGUUAUGAAACCCUUGGGGGCUCUUUUAGUUCAUAAUUAUAGGGCUCAUUUGCACAGGGCCCCCAUUUCAAAUUCUUCUGAUAGAGUGGCUCUUAAAAAUACUAUAGUGUGGUUAUUGAGUGAUGUCGCCAUCUGUCAUGCUUGUGGUCAUCUUUGUUUUUAAGAGUAAGCAUUUUGGUUAUUAAUUAGAUGUCUUUACGUAAUGGCCAACGCAUAUCUGAAUAUACCGUGGGAGGUCAGAUAGCAAAUGUUAAAAGUAUUGCCACCAAAGUAUGUCACAUAACCAAUGUGACAGGUAUUUAAAAGACAAGGCCAUGACAUGAAUAUAAAUUUAUUUUUUAAAACUACAUUUGUAGUUUUAUAUAUCAGUGGCAGUAUUUCAUAAUCACAUGUUUGUGUGCAAUAAUUUAAAGUUGUAUUUGAAAGUGUUGUCAUGUUGUCUCCCUUUUCUUUCAUUAUAACCAUGGACUGUGUGCUUUUUAACUCUGUGAUAACCAAUUUGUUCAUUGUACAAUGAGUCUGCAUUGCAAAGUCAGUUUCUGUCUCAUUUUGAAGUCAUUCCAUGAGACAAACCCUGUACAGUCAAUAAGUUUCCCUUAUUGGUGAUAUUCGUCAGUUACUGUUGUGUUGUAUUUUACUUUGCCAACAAGUGUUUGAAAUUGAUGUAAAUUGUUGUAUAUAAAUUUAUAUAUAUAUUGGAUGAAAUUAAAUAUUAUUUUGUUACAAAUUAUUUGAAAUGCAAGCGAGCUGCAGUGUUAUGUUUCGAUUUUUUGUAUUUAAUUUUUUUUUUAAAUAUCAUGAAAUUUUAUUUUGAGAAAAUUGUCUUUAGAAAAAUAUUUAUAUUAGUGUUUAUAUUUUUUAUUCUAUUACAUAUACUAAAAUUUACUUAUAGUAUCCAGGGCUAUGGUAAAGUUAUAAUGUUUGAAUUUAUUAUGGUAGGCUAAAUUAGCUCUAAAAUAGUAUGCAUGUAAUUAAAAAUAGCUCUCUUUUUUUUUAGAGGAGAACAUUUGUUAAGAAGAAAAAGAUACACACUUGGAUAAAGAGCCGGAUUUAGAUUUGAUAAGGCCCUGAGCUAUAUGAGAUGUGGGGCCCCUUGUAAUCAACAUAACAUUAUUCUUUCUUCAAAAUAAUUGAAAAUAUCUCUGGAGCUAUUUUCGAGGGAGGGGGCCUAAGCUAAAGCGUAUGUGGCCUAUAUGUAAAUUCAGCACUGUUUGGAAAUGUAGAGAUGUUAUUAGUUAUUACAUUAUUUAACUAGAGAACAUUACGUUGUAUCUCUAGUAUUCAUUUAAUUUUAUUAAUAUGUUUUUUUUUGUUUCUUGUUAGAUUUAAUUAUAGAGCUACUAUGUAAAUAGAAAACAGUAUUUUAUUUCUGAAGCAAGUCAUAUAUUUGUCUACAAGUUCUUAUCGACAUUCAUAUAUUUCUACAUUUCUAUUUGUCCAUAUAGAUAUCUCGUGUCACGUGGUCGUUAUGUCACGUGGUCGUUAUGUCACGUGUCCUUUGCUGAAAAUAAAGUGCUCUUUAUAAACCAAA